CCUUCUCCGUCUUUUUCCGUUACUUCCCGUCUCUCUCCGCCAUUCUCCGUCUCUUUCCGUCAGUCUUCGUCGUCCCUCGCCUCUCCCGUCAAUCUCCGCCUCUCUCCGUCAGUUUCCGUCCCUGUCCGUCAUUCCCCGUCUCUCUUCGCUAUUCUCCGUCUCUUUCCGUCAGUCUUCGUCAUUCCCCGGCUCUCCCCGUCAAUCUCCGUCUCUCUCCCUCUCUCUCCGUCAAUUUCCGUCCCUGUCCGUCAUUCCCCGUCUCUCUCCGCCAUUGUCCGGCUCUUUCCGUCAGUCUUCGUCAUACCCCGCCUCUCCUCGCCAAUCUCCGUCUCCGUCAAUUUCCGCCUCUGUCCGUGAUUCCCCGCCUCUGUCCGUCUCUCCCCGCGCAGGUCUGCCGGUGGCUCUCCGUAGAUUCCUGUGUUCACAGGCGCACGGUUCGCUCUGCUCCUGGCGCGUCCUGCCUCUGUGCUGAGGCGCAGAAGCUCGUAGCUGGGUCAGCCGCCCGUUGCUGUCUGCGUGUCUGUCCCUUCUGCCCUGCAGCCUCCCCCCGGGGGCUCCCUUCCGUCCGUACGGUCUCCAACGAAUUGGAGAAGACACGGAACAGUCCUGCCCAUUGGGAGUUUGAAUUAACAAAGAUUUGUGGUUCAUCCGUUUAACCACGAGGUGGCGCCUCUGCUCCUAUCAGGCCCCGGGACUGCCGCUCUCCUAAUGGGAGCCGGGAUUCCUUGGGCUCCGCUGCGGCCCCGGGACCCCGCCGGCCGCGUCCGCAGUGACAGCUUGGUUUCCUCCGGAGCCGCGGGACAGAAAGCAGGUCAUCCCAAUGCCUAAGGCCCAGGGGCUACAGGGGAUCCUCUAAUGACUCCUGGACCCCUGUAAGGUCUGGCUGUAGGGAUCCCGGGCUGUGGCAGGAGUUCACACCAUGUCCCGGAGGCCACAUCUGUCACCCUGCAGCCCCCGCUGCUGCAUCUCAAGGCCCGCUGUCUCGGCCACGUUCAUGCCAGGAGGGAUGAUGUGGGUCCUGUCUGCGCAGGGGACCUGGGGAAACAUCGCAGACUCACCACUAACAGAAACAAAAAUUCCCUAUCUCAUUUACUCUUCACUCAGACCCCUUGUAAGGACCUCUCCACCCCCAUUUUGUACAUGAGGACAUUGAGAUUUAGAGAGAUUACGUAGCUUUAAAGUGAUUACAACCAUUAAAAGAUGUCUCAGGACGCAAUCACGGUGCCUCCUGUCCUGGUGACGGUGGAAAUGGCAAAAGCGCCCCCUUUAAAAAGACAUGCGUUUCCUACAUUUUCUAGUUGCUCCUGAGUAGCAAGGGAGUAGAAAUCUCGAGUAGGUGCAAGGUAGUGGAUGGAGGCAGAAUGGCCCUGGGGGCGCCAGGUGGAUGGGGGUUGCCAUCAGUCCUCACGGCAUCCCUGGGAGGCAUCGGCAUUUUCCCCAUUCGCUCACAAGGGGCUGAGGCUUCUGCUCUGCAUGGGCCUUAGGCCACAUCGGCAGGAAAUGGAGUUGCUGGAAGGGGAGACCUGCCCACUCUCAUCAGCUGCCCCUGAACUCUCCCUCUCCUGGGAUAUGCCCCAAGCUGCACUGUGUGCCUAUUAUUUACUUAAUGCUCAUGGCAGCCUGCCUAUGUGGUGUGUCACUGUGCAUUUAUAGUCACCUAAUGUCAGAGCUUUGAGACUGCCGCAUGAAAUGCAGUCUCUUUACUUUUCCAUCCUUGCAUCGUUUCCAAGGUUUGGGCAUUUUGAGAACAGUCAGGCAGGGGACACAUUGUCCAUUUUCACAGUAUUUCAGUUCUGGGUCUGAAAGACCUAGAUUAGAGGAGGAAAAAAAGUCAUAUAAAAUGCAGAGAAGAUUAAAGUUCUCUGUUUUUUUAAAAAAGAGAAAAUGGAGAAAAGCUUAUUUCUCAUUUGAUUCAACUAGCCUAGGUAACAAGCAACACCUCAGGUCACCUCUUAACAUCACUCCACAUGACUGCAGACAGCC